UGGGGAAUAUUGCACAAUGGGCGCAAGCCUGAUGCAGCCAUGCCGCGUGUAUGAAGAAGGCCUUCGGGUUGUAAAGUACUUUCAGUCGGGAGGAAGGUGGUAAGGUUAAUAACCUUAUCAAUUGACGUUACCGACAGAAGAAGCACCGGCUAACUCCGUGCCAGCAGCCGCGGUAAUACGGAGGGUGCAAGCGUUAAUCGGAAUUACUGGGCGUAAAGCGCACGCAGGCGGUCUGUCAAGUCGGAUGUGAAAUCCCCGGGCUUAACCUGGGAACUGCAUUAGAAACUGGCAGGCUAGAGUCUUGUAGAGGGGGGUAGAAUUCCAGGUGUAGCGGUGAAAUGCGUAGAGAUCUGGAGGAAUACCGGUGGCGGAGGCGGCCCCCUGGACAAAGACUGACGCUCAGGUGCGAAAGCGUGGGGAGCAAACAGG
rnacentral:rRNA from 1 species